rnacentral:rRNA from 1 species
GACGAACGCUGGCGGCGUGCUUAACACAUGCCAGUCGUACGGUAAGGCCCUUUCGGGGGUACACGAGUGGCGAACGGGUGAGUAACACGUGAGUAACCUGCCCACAACUUUGGGAUAACGCUAGGAAACUGGUGCUAAUACUGGAUAUGUGCUCCUGCUGCAUGGUGGGGGUUGGAAAGCUCCGGCGGUUGUGGAUGAACUCGCGGCCUAUCAGCUUGUUGGUGGGGUAGUGGCCUACCAAGGCGGCGACGGGUAGCCGGCCUGAGAGGGUGACCGGCCACAUUGGGACUGAGAUACGGCCCAGACUCCUACGGGAGGCAGCAGUGGGGAAUAUUGCACAAUGGGCGCAAGCCUGAUGCAGCAACGCCGCGUGCGGGAUGACGGCCUUCGGGUUGUAAACCGCUUUCAGCAGGGACGAAGCUUUUUGUGACGGUACCUGCAGAAGAAGCACCGGCUAACUACGUG